AUUGAACGCUGGCGGCAUGCCUUACACAUGCAAAUCGAACGGUAACAGGUUAAGCUGACGAGUGGCGAACGGGUGAGUAAUGUAUCGGAACGUGCCCAGUCGUGGGGGAUAACUGCUCGAAAGAGCAGCUAAUACCGCAUACGACCUGAGGGUGAAAGCGGGGGAUCGCAAGACCUCCCGCGAUUGGAGCGGCCGAUAUCAGAUUAGGUAGUUGGUGAGGUAAAGGCUCACCAAGCCGACGAUCUGUAGCUGGUCUGAGAGGACGACCAGCCACACUGGGACUGAGACACGGCCCAGACUCCUACGGGAGGCAGCAGUGGGGAAUUUUGGACAAUGGGCGCAAGCCUGAUCCAGCCAUGCCGCGUGCGGGAAGAAGGCCUUCGGGUUGUAAACCGCUUUUGUCAGGGAAGAAAAGGUUCUGGCUAAUACCUGGGACUCAUGACGGUACCUGAAGAAUAAGCACCGGCUAACUACGUGCCAGCAGCCGCGGUAAAAC
rnacentral:rRNA from 1 species